UGUGUAGGUGGCGCCGUAAGUCGGGUGUGAAAUCUCGGGGCUUAACUCCGAAACUGCAUUCGAUACUGCGGUGCUUGAGGACUGGAGAGGAGACUGGAAUUCAUGGUGUAGCAGUGAAAUGCGUAGAGAUCAUGAGGAAGACCAGUGGCGAAGGCGGGUCUCUGGACAGUUCCUGACACUGAGACACGAAGGCCAGGGGAGUAAACG
rnacentral:rRNA from 1 species